UUCUACUUCUCCUCUUCCUUCGACAAUUUCUUUUUCUAGAUUCUAAUUUUUUUUAAUCAUCUUCUGCUUCUACUCGCAAUCAUCCUCACCCCUCUCCCCGCACCUGAUAGACUCCCACAAAAAUAUCAUCUAAUAUUGUGUCAUUUCAUUCAAAUAUUGUCUCGUCAACAAAAAUUUCAUGUGGCACAUCUAAAAGAACACCUCAAGAGUCUAAAGUCCAAAACUACAAGGAAACUUUGUUGCAGAUACAAAAAAAAAAAAAUCAAUUAUUAAAAAGUUCUACUGGAUUUGAAAUCUUGUUUCAUAAGAUAACAUCUGAUGUGGACCAACCCUUAAUGAAGGCUAAUGAGCUUCAAGAAUUAGAAACGGAAAGACCAUUGACUAGAGGGAAGGCUAGGAAGCUAAAUGAACAAUUAGAGAAACAAGUUGUUAAUUUUCUUAGUCUUAAGACCUAUGAAAAGAUUGAUCCAUAUUAUAUUAAUCUUUUAGUCCUAGAAAUAUCUUAAGACUUAAUGUUAAUUUUGGGAUGUAAUAAUCAUACCUUAUAAUUAGGAAUUAUGUUGACUUGUGUGUGUCCCUAAAUAUUUGGUAGCUUAGGCACAAUGUCAUUAGUUGUGUGUAGCCUAUGUACCAACAUGUAAUAAUUAUUCUAGGUUAUUUUCUUUAUUAUGGAAAAUAAAUGUUUUAUUUUAUGAUUAUAAUAUUAAACAAAAAGUGAUGUCCUGCUUCCUAGAAUA